AGAGUUUGAUCCUGGCUCAGGAUGAACGCUGGCGGCGUGCCUAAUACAUGCAAGUCGAGCGAACGGACGAGAAGCUUGCUUCUCUGAUGUUAGCGGCGGACGGGUGAGUAACACGUGGAUAACCUACCUAUAAGACUGGGAUAACUUCGGGAAACCGGAGCUAAUACCGGAUAAUAUUUUGAACCGCAUGGUUCAAAAGUGAAAGACGGUCUUGCUGUCACUUAUAGAUGGAUCCGCGCUGCAUUAGCUAGUUGGUAAGGUAACGGCUUACCAAGGCAACGAUGCAUAGCCGACCUGAGAGGGUGAUCGGCCACACUGGAACUGAGACACGGUCCAGACUCCUACGGGAGGCAGCAGUAGGGAAUCUUCCGCAAUGGGCGAAAGCCUGACGGAGCAACGCCGCGUGAGUGAUGAAGGUCUUCGGAUCGUAAAACUCUGUUAUUAGGGAAGAACAUAUGUGUAAGUAACUGUGCACAUCUUGACGGUACCUAAUCAGAAAGCCACGGCUAACUACGUGCCAGCAGCCGCGGUAAUACGUAGGUGGCAAGCGUUAUCCGGAAUUAUUGGGCGUAAAGCGCGCGUAGGCGGUUUUUUAAGUCUGAUGUGAAAGCCCACGGCUCAACCGUGGAGGGUCAUUGGAAACUGGAAAACUUGAGUGCAGAAGAGGAAAGUGGAAUUCCAUGUGUAGCGGUGAAAUGCGCAGAGAUAUGGAGGAACACCAGUGGCGAAGGCGACUUUCUGGUCUGUAACUGACGCUGAUGUGCGAAAGCGUGGGGAUCAAACAGGAUUAGAUACCCUGGUAGUCCACGCCGUAAACGAUGAGUGCUAAGUGUUAGGGGGUUUCCGCCCCUUAGUGCUGCAGCUAACGCAUUAAGCACUCCGCCUGGGGAGUACGACCGCAAGGUUGAAACUCAAAGGAAUUGACGGGGACCCGCACAAGCGGUGGAGCAUGUGGUUUAAUUCGAAGCAACGCGAAGAACCUUACCAAAUCUUGACAUCCUUUGACAACUCUAGAGAUAGAGC
rnacentral:rRNA from 508 species